UACGUAGGGUGCAAGCGUUGUCCGGAAUUAUUGGGCGUAAAGAGCUCGUAGGCGGUCUGUCGCGUCGGAUGUGAAAAUCCAGGGCUCAACCCUGGACCUGCAUUCGAGACGGGCAGACUAGAGUUCGGCAGGGGAGACUGGAAUUCCUGGUGUAGCGGUGAAAUGCGCAGAUAUCAGGAGGAACACCGGUGGCGAAGGCGGGUCUCUGGGCCGAUACUGACGCUGAGGAGCGAAAGCGUGGGGAGCGAACAGG
rnacentral:rRNA from 1 species